UAAGAGCAUCAACAGUAUUUAUGUUUUUUUGUGUUUUAGUUCGUAGAUGUUCGAUUGUUGAAACCCACACUUCUCUCGCUCGGCGGAAUGUGGAUGCUGGUUGGAAAAUAACAGUUCUCUCUUCGAAGUCUUGAGCGUGGUGAGAGGAAUGAUUUGUAGGGUGUCAUAAGUCUAGGGGACGUUGGACGGUAACAAUCUUGUUGAAAGAUGAUGAGGCCGACGAAUGUCAGGACAGUAUAGAAACAAAGCAUAAUGCUGUAGAUAGGGAGAUGCUGAGUGAAAUGUUCGCAAGUCAAGAGAGCAAUGGCGAAGGCUUCAGUGACUUGUCUUAGCAGACAAUUUUUCUUUUAAGGAAGAUGGUAAAAUCCUCGCGAACAGCACCAAGGGGGCCGCCAAGCUUUACGUCCCCAAGGAUGGAUCACCUUCAACAAUGUAACAUGCACUCCUUCAUGAGACACUGUGGAGAAAUUUGGUAUUUAAACCAGGUUAUUGGCGCAAAGGCUGGUGAUCGCGAACAUUACACUACCACCCUACCUGCCUAUGCCAUCCAAAUACUGGCCGUGAAAAAUUCUUCCACUACAAUGAUUUGAACUGGCUCACUCGCUAAUUAGAGCGUCACCAGAUAGGCGUCUACAAAGGAAACUCAGGAGUAUGUCCCCAAUCACACCACUGAAGAAGAUGAGUGAAACAGAAAUUGCCACGUGGAGGGGCUGCACGGUUUGAGACUCCAUAUCGCAGAUUGUGUGCCCCUCCCCCCCCCCCUUUCCUCCCCCUUGUUGGAGGUCCAAGUCCUUCCUCAGGCAUGGGUGCA